AACGAACGCUGGCGGCAUGCCUAACACAUGCAAGUCGAACGAAGUCUUCGGACUUAGUGGCGGACGGGUGAGUAACACGUGGGAACGUGCCUUUAGGUUCGGAAUAACUCAGGGAAACUUGUGCUAAUACCGAAUGUGCCCUUCGGGGGAAAGAUUUAUCGCCUUUAGAGCGGCCCGCGUCUGAUUAGCUAGUUGGUGAGGUAAAGGCUCACCAAGGCUACGAUCAGUAGCUGGUCUGAGAGGAUGACCAGCCACAUUGGGACUGGGACACGGCCCAAACUCCUACGGGAGGCAGCAGUGGGGAAUCUUGCGCAAUGGGCGGAAGCCUGACGCAGCCAUGCCGCGUGGAUGAUGAAGGUCUUAGGAUUGUAAAAUCCUUUCACCGGUGAAGAUAAUGACUGUAGCCGGAGAAGAAGCCCCGGCUAACUUCGUGCCAGCAGCCGCCGUAACAC
rnacentral:rRNA from 1 species